GGUAGCAUGGCGGCUGAAAAGGGAAUCGGGUGCAAAUCCCGAGCAGAACCCGCUGCUGUGAGUCCGAAAUGCGGUGAUGAACCGCACAAGAGUCACGUUGCAUGCAUCUAGAAUGCGAGGAGCCACUGUCGUUGACCUGACGAUGGGAAGGCCGCAACGCUCAUGACCAGGACAAGCCAGAAGACCUGCCAUGCUUUC
rnacentral:ncRNA from 1 species